rnacentral:rRNA from 1 species
AUUGAACGCUGGCGGCAGGCCUAACACAUGCAAUUCGAACGAGUGGCGGACGGGUGAGUAAUGUCUGGGCAACUGCCUGAUGGAGGGGGAUAACUACUGGCAACGGUAGCUACUACCGCAUACCAUCAGAUGUGCCCAGAUGGGAUUAGCUUGUUGGUGGGGUAACGGCUCACCAAGGCGACGAUGCCUAGCUGGUCUGAGAGGAUGACCAGAGAAACGGGAACUGAGACACGGGCCAGACUCCUACGGGAGGCAGCAGUGGGGAAUAUUGCGAAAUGGGCGCAAGCCUGAUGCAGCCAUGCCGCGGGUAUGAAGAAGGCCUUCGGGUUGUAAAGUACUUUCAGCGGGGAGGCGUUACCCGCAGAAGAAGCACCGGCUAACUCCGUGCCAGCAGCCGCGGUAAUUC